AUUGGAGUCUGCAACCCGACUCCAUGAAGCUGGAUUCGCUAGUAAUCGCGCAUCAGCCACGGCGCGGUGAAUACGUUCCCGGGCCUUGUACACACCGCCCGUCAAGCCAUGGAAGCCGGGGGUGCCUGAAGUGCGCUGCCGCAAGGAGCGCCCUAGGGUAAAACCGGUGACUGGGGUGAAGUCGUAACAAGGUAUC
rnacentral:rRNA from 1 species